GUCUUCUUGUCUUCUUGAAGCCUUUUAAUAUGUCUUGGAAGGCUGCCUAGGGUUUCAUGGAAGUCCAGGAGGCUUUUAGAGGCUGCCCAAAGUGUCCUUGGUGUUGCAUGUGCCUUGUUUGUGCAUGUAUGAAGGCAAAAACGAGUUGCAUGUGUUUGAAGGCAAGUGGGGGCACUUUGGUCUUUUUACUUGCUGUCCAAGGUCUCAAAGAUGUUGCCUAAAGAGUUAAGAGGCUGCCCAUGCACUAAUAAGGAAGGUAGAGACUCCUUUUGAUUUUUGAAUGUGCAUGGCACUAAGUAGGAAGCAUGUGAUCUUGGGAUUUUCUUUCCUUAAUAAGGGGGAUCUUG
rnacentral:lncRNA from 1 species